AGAGUUUGAUCCUGGCUCAGGGUUAACGCUGGCGGCGUGCCUUACACAUGCAAGUCGAACGGGGCUAUCAGCGAUGGUAGCUUAGUGGCGAACGGGUGAGGAAGACGCAGGGACCUACCGACCAGAGGGGGAUACCCGCUGGAAACGGCGGAUAAAACCGCAUACGCCCGGGUGAAAGCCCGGGGAAAAGCACUACGGUGUUACUGGACGAGGGACCUGCGGCCCAUCAGGUAGUUGGGGAGGUAACGGCUCACCAAGCCGACGACGGGUAUCUGGCGUGAGAGCGCGAACAGGCACAAGGACACUGAGAGACGGGUCCUACUCCUACGGGAGGCAGCAGUGGGGAAUAUUGGACAAUGGGCGAAAGCCUGAUCCAGCGACGCCGCGUGUCGGAAGGAGUCCUUCGGGAUGUAAACGACUUUUGGUGGAGACGAAUAAGCAGCUCAGGGAAUGGGGCUGUGAUGACGGUAUCCAUGGAAUAAGCCCCGGCUAACUACGUGCCAGCAGCCGCGGUAAGACGUAGGGGGCAAGCGUUACCCGGAAUUACUGGGCGUAAAGGGAGCGUAGGCGGGAGGUCAAGUCCGGUGUGAAAGACCCUGGCUCAACCAGGGAUGAGGGCUGGAAACUGACAAUCUUGAGUACAGCAGAGGAAGAGGGAAUUACCGGUGUAGGGGUGAAAUCCGUAGAGACCGGUAAGAAGGCCAGUGGCGAAGGCGCUUUUCUGGGCUGUUACUGACGCUGAGGCUCGAAAGCCAGGGGAGCAAACCGGAUUAGAUACCCGGGUAGUCCUGGCCGUAAACGAUGCUCACUAGGUGUGGGGCGCAUAGCGUGCUCUGCGCUGAAGCAAACGCAAUAAGUGAGCCGCCUGGGGAGUACGUCCGCAAGGAUGAAACUCAAAGGAAUUGACGG
rnacentral:rRNA from 1 species